UGCUCCAUGAAGGAACCUUGGAAACACACCGUGUUCAUUACUUCUCUCAUUUCUUACUCAGAAGAAUUGGUUUUGCUUUGGAUUUGAAAGCAUACAAUCCAGUCCACCAUGGCAGAGAAGGCAGGGAAAUGCGAGGAGGCUGAAAACAUGGCAUCUGCAAGGUGGAGUCAGAACAGGGUCCAUAAAAGUCACCACUGAAAACAAAAAGUACAAAGCAGUCAGGACAAAGGGCUGAAUGCCAUCAAACCAAAACGGAAUGUAAGCCACCAAAAGGGGGAACUGAACUCAACCAGGAAGCUAGGAGGGAAAGAAGGAUAGAGGGGAGAGAAAGAGAUAAUCUAUCCGCAAAUCUAAUUUCUACUGACAAACAGCCACCAACCCACCUGAAUGACCAACAACCAUCAACCUCACCUCUCAGGUAGUGCCACCUCUGCUGAUUCAUGUUUGAUAUCCAAAUUCUACUGAACUGGACUGCUGGUGUAUCUGUGAAGUGUUUCUGAGUGGAUUGAGCUGUUGCCAUUGGCCUGUGAACUGAACUGCUGAUUUCCAGACAACACAGAUGAGAGUUGCUUCAAAGAACCCUUCCUAAACAGGUGACAGUUCAUGAAAGCUCCAUUCGUGGACGUCUACGCACAACUUGAUGGUCACUCAACAGAGCCAAGAAUCUCCUCUUGACAGUGCUGUUGGUUAGUCUCAUCACUCAACAGUUGUUUCCUGUUCAACAAGUUGGUCUCAUGAGCCUCCGCCUUCCUCCUAUAGAUUAUGUUUCAAUUUGAGAUACCAUACAGCAGCAGAGGCAGACCUGAUAGAUCUUCACUUGCUGACAUCCACUUCCUAACUUGCUGCCUCACCCUUUGACAAGCAUGAUGUCCCAGCCAGAAGAGGAUGUUCAUCUACUACCCACUUCAAAGUACUGAUGUAUGCUAAGGGUUCAAUAAACAUCUGAAAAUAUUCAUCGCU
rnacentral:lncRNA from 1 species